CACACACACACACGCAUGUAGGUAUUACAUGUACAGAAGCGAAUAGUUGUUUACGUUUCAGAAGAGCUAGCUUAGUUAUUAUUCAAUAACUAUAGAUUUCGGUUUUCAGAACAGACGUGUGCGUCUAUAUAGAAUAAAACACUUUGACAUGCCCAUGUAGAAGCUGAUAACGCAUGUGUUCCCUUAGAACAUUAUCCCUUAGUGAGUGUGUAUCUGUGUGUUUCUAUAUCAGCUGUUAUAUCUUGCUAGGUACUGCAAAGAGUUAAGAGUCUGUGUGUGUGUCUGGAGGGGAACAAACAGACGAAUAAUAAACUCUGAGAGGAAGGAAAUUUAUAGAUAGACAAACAGACGAAGUGAGAGAGAGAGAAGUAGAGAAGGGGGCGGUGGGGGAAAAAAGCGAGUCGAAAAGUUAAGUAGACGGAAAGAAAGAUUAAGGGGGCGACAGACAGACAGACAGACAAGCGAAGGAAGCGAGAUAGACCAAACAGGAUAGACAGAUAAAUAGAUAGAUAGACGAAGGUAGCUAGCUAUAUAGUAAAUAGAAGCAAAUAAGAGAAUUAGCUAGACACACGCAUACACACACACACUCAUAUAUAUAUAUACACACACACAAGAUCCAAACAUUGCUGAAACAUCAUCGUAAUAGUAAUAUUAAAUUGAAAACCAUCAGUAGACAGAUAUGCAUAUAAACACAUACAGACUAUGCGACCAUUGUACAAACAUCAUCGUCUGAAAGAGCAAACAUUACAACACACACAUACACACACACACACACACUAACCGAGGUUGCUCUUGCAUUACAUACAACACCAUUGUCAUCGUAAAUAGCAAAUAAACAUCAGUAGACACGCACUCCUCGAUCGUCGUUCACACACACACAUUGCCAUCAUCAUCAUCAUCAUUAGCAGCAUCAGAAACAGCAACACAACACUUCAGUAAGCACGACAAUACGAAAGUGUCAACAACAUGGAAAGAGAACCGGAAUGUUGAGCGUGUGACAAAAGAUCACUUGUGGUGACCGGCCAUAAGGUCUUUUUGGCUCCUUUCCACUCUCGCUCUCUCCAUCUUUCUCUCUCUCCACCUCAUUUUUUUUAGCCCUUUUCCCCGAUCUCUUUCUCUCUCUUUUGUGCCUUUUUUCUUCUCUCCCUCCAUCCUCUCAUUUUUUGCCUUCGUUUUGUUCCUUUUUCUCUCUGUCCAUCCUCUAUUUUCGUCCUCACUGCCUGUCUACCCCCCUCUCUCUCUCUUUGUAUCUCUCCAUCUUCUAUUUACCCCCCUCUUUCCUCUAGCACUUCCUUCUCCCAAUCCUCUCUUCCUCUCUUUUGCAUCUUUGUUGUGUCUGUCUCUCUUCUUUCUCUUUCUCCUUUCAUCUUCGUCCUCACUUUUUUGCCCCCCUUUCUCACUAGCUUCUACUCCUUCCGAUCCUCUCUUUCUUUUUACCUCUUCGCUCUCUCUCUCUCUCUCUCUCUCUCUCUCUCCCUCUCCAUCUUUCUCCAUCUAUCUGUCUCUCCCCCUUUCCGUCACGCUCGUUUGUUACUCGCUAGAUGUGACGACACCAUCCGAUGAGAUCAUUAAAGACACAACAUAACAUAACGUGAUUGAACGCACGUGGCAUGCAACUCUGAGUAUUAUUAUUUAUAAGCAAACAGCAGUGAAUCACCAGCUGCUUCCAUAAUAAAUAUUAACUCUACACGUAUUGAGUACUCCUUCCAAUUUUUAUACCCCUCAUUUGUAAACACACGCAAUCUUUCUUGCUUUAUAUAUAUAUAUGUAUAUAUAUAUAUUUAGGAAUAGGUCGAAUUAGCGGGAGAGAUUAGAAUGGUAUUUAGUCUAAUCAACCCUCCUUCAUGUUGCACACAGAUAAAUUCCAGGCCCUGCCCCACAGGGGUCAGCCGGAAAUGAAAGCCACUCUUUUCUCACCAGCAUCCAUCACCGCUUCGUCUGUAUCGCCAAUAUCAUCAUCAUUAUUAUUAUUAUUAUUCAAUUAAACAUCAAAAGAAGCAAAACAAAAACAAACGAGUAGCUCGGGGCUUGUUUUCGUUGCUGUUGUUGUUGUUGUUGUUAUUGAACAGCAUCACUAUCAGCAUCAGCAUCUUUAGCAUCCUCACACACACACACACACACACACGGAACGUCUUGACACCUUAACCGGAACAGCAAGGGUUCGACUCUUUGUUUAUUUACGUCUGCAGUUGUCAUAUUUAUUUAUUUAUUUAAAUUUCCAUCUCCCCCCCCUGUCUCUCUCUCUCUCACACACACACACACAUAUUCUCUUUCUCUCACACACACACACGCUCUGCCUCAGUCCAACUUUGACACAUCUUUCUAUAUAUUCUCUUUCACCACACUUCUCACUCUCUUUCUCUCUCUCUCUCUCUUGUCUUUCUCCGUCUCUCUCCUUCCCUCUCUUUAUUGCUUUCACUAUCUCCCUCUCCCUCUCUCUCACUACUCCCCGUGCUUCUCCCCUUCACCCUUGAAUUUAUUUCCUUUUUACUUCUCUUUCUCUCUCUUUAAAUUUUAACUCUUUUACCUUCACUUCCCUCUCUCCCUUUCCCUCAAUCUCUUUCACUCCCCCGCUUGCUCGCUUCCUCUUCCUCUCUCUCACUCUCUUUACUCGUCAAUACCCAUCUUCCUCUCUCCCUCCCUCUCUCUUUAAGUCCUUGCCUUCACUUCCCACUCCCUUUUUACACUCUUGUUCUCUACUCCCCGCUCUCUUGCUUUGCCUUUCAACAUCAUCUCACUCCCUCUCUCUCUUUACUCUCUUUCUUUUUCUUGCCUAUAUUCCUUUACACCCUUUUCCAUCCCUCUCUCUCUCUCUCAGUUCUCUGAUAAAUUUCACUCUACUUCCCCCUUUCUUCCCUCCCCUCUCUCUCUCUCUCUACUCCCCCGCUCGCUCCCUCUCACUUCUCUUCUUCCUCCCCUUCCACCCGACAUUUUUAAAGUUCUACCUCAACCGAUCUGUGUCAUGUAAACACAACACCAGAAACCGCUUCCCUCCCCACCCACCGCUUCUCUCCGUUGCCCUACUUUAUCGCUGCAACACACACACACACAUAUACACACACCUUUGUUCUUUUUUUGUUUUACAUACGUACACAUUCACACACACACACACAUUUCUUUAGACACUGAGCUAUUUGUGCAUGUGUGUGUGUGUGUGUAUGCAUGUGUUUGUUGAUGUGCCGUUACGUAAUCCUUUCACCUGUUUUGUUGUUAAGUGCACACGCCUGCUGGUGGACGGUGUGUGCGUGUGUGCACACGCGAUUCUUUAACAUAAACACAAAAAAAAUACACAUACGUAUACACACUUUUUAUGAACACAUUUACACACAUACACACACAUAUACAUAUAUAUGAUCACAUGCAUGUACGUAAUAUUCGAGACGUCUCUCUCUCUGUCUCUCUCUCUUUCUCCAUACUCAUACAUACCGGUAAUUACAUCGCAAUCUCUUGAUAUUGUGAUUGUUACUGUUCCCAGUGAUUUUCUUUCCACCUGCCAUCCGCUACUCAAACUUCUAGGCUGACCACCCCCAUUGCACCCUCCUUUACAGCACACACACACACACACAGCUCACAACAUAGAUGUACACGAUUUAGUGUCUCCCCCACCGCCACCAGUCACCACCGAUAUCACCACCCCCGCCGACAUAGCUCUACAGAUCGCCUUCCAUCACACACACACGCACAUACCUUUCUUUACUUUUCCCUUUUUUCUGUAAUUAUACCUAAUUUGAUAAGUGCCAAUACACGAAACUCUCGGCCCUUGAGUCACUGUAACUUCUGCCAAUAACAGCAACAACAACAUUUCCCUAUUCUUUUAGCUGUUCCAAUAUUUUCGUUCUUAAUACUUCGCAGAAAACUCUUUUCAGUUUUCUUAGUUCUUGGGUUAAUUGUUCACACACACACACACACAUUAAUAUAUAAUCUAUUAGUCAUUUUUUUCUAGUUCCAUUCUUUGUCCUCCCUCUGUUGCACACACACACACACGUUUACGCACACACUUGAAGUGUGUGCAAAUAGUUACUAGUGUGGUUGGUUCUGUUGUGAUUGGUUUUUAAGACUUUUUAUUAGUACAAAGCUACUGGUGACCAUAGCUCUAGACAACGUGCGAUACUCGCCCAAAGACAAAGAAAAAAAGAAAGACUGACAGACAGGGAGGCAUUUGGUGGUCUCGAGAAUCGUUAGAAAUAGCAGUCGAAUUCCUUCAAAUCACACUAACACAAGACAAAAAAAAAUGUAAACUAAACAAAAGAAGGACGCAUUAGAUAAUGCCUUGACAAAUAGGAGCCGGUUGUCACGAUUGUAACAAUUUAUCAAAUGAUAGAUCUAAGGUACUCUCGGUGUGGACUGACCUAGGGCUAAAUAACAAACUCUACGCCUGAUAUUGAGACGUAAACCAUCCUGAGCACAGCACACGAAGACUUGACAUCAAGUCACUCAAACAUACAUAGAUAUAGAUACAUAAACACACACACACAUAUAUAUAUGUAUAUGCGAACUCAUUUGUCAAGUUUAUACGCAUAAGCGUGUGUGUUGUAUGUGUAUAUGUGUUGUGAGUGUGUGGUAUGUAAUAUAUGUAUGUGUUGUGUACACGCCUCCUGUUUGAAAGUAAAAUAAAUUGAAGUGUCCUUGCUGUACAAUACACAUACCAAAACAUACACACAUAUAUAUAUAUAUAUAUAUAUAUAUAUAUAAUGUACACACCUAUAACUACACAGAGAUAACCAUUUAUAUGUACACACGUACCUAACUCCAUAUCCAAACUUAUACGUACAACGACUCGCGCAGCGAACACAGCUACACAAAUACUCACACACACAUAUAUAUAUAUAUAUCUAUAUACAUACAUAUGCUCAUAGAUACAGACUAACACAUGUGCACAGGCUCCUGUGUGUGUAUAUAAAUGUAUUUACACACAGCUACCUAGGAUAGAAAGAAAGGCAGACACGUUACCCUUCUCACCACCACCACCACCGCUUCUGCCGCCGCCGCCGCCCCUAGCGUUACUUUCAUCCUUGUUAACCUCUUUCUCUUCAUCAACAGCAGCAGCAGCAUCAACACCAACAUUCAUACAUACAUAUACACGAUUGCAGUUUGGUGCUAUCACAACAACAACAUCGCUAGCAACAGCAACAACAACUACUACUACAACUACUACUACAACACUUGUGUGGUGCGUGCGUGCAUGUCUUAAUAUGUAAGUGUGCGAGCACUUGUCAAAUUUCAACAACAACUACAACAUUACUACUACUACUACCACCACCACCACUACUACUACCACUACUACUACUACUACCACUACUACUACUACUACUGCUACUGGUGCUGUUGUUGUGAGCUGAGAGCUUUCUUGUCCAGUUAGUUUCAAAGAACGGCCGCCGUCGCUGCUUGCACGCAACAGCAGCAGCAGCAGCAAAAACAAAAACAACUCAUCUGCUGCUGCUUUGUCAAACGCCAUCAUCAUCAUCAUCAUCAUUGUUAUCAACUACAUCAGCAAAUAGUGAUUUUUUAAAUUUUAUUUUAUUUUUAUUUCAUUUUAUUAUAUUUCAUUGUAUUUUUCUUGUUCAGAAAAGCAGCAAAUACGACUAACAAAUUCUUUGAUAUUCAACAGCAUUUCAAGGCAUACGACACCGGUUGCUCGCAUUUCCUCUUUUUUUUUUCUUUUCCUCCUCUUUUUUUUUCUCUUUUUAAAAAAGAAAGAAAGAAAGGCCUUUAACGACGUCAACAACAACAACAUUCAACACACGCCUUUGCUCUGUCAAGUUUCUGCAACAACAACAAAAACAACAUCGAUAUCAUUAUUAAUAACUGCAGUAACAUCCAACAAACAAUAACUAGCUGUCAGUUAAUAUAUACACACACACACACACACAUACAUAUAUAUAUAUAUAUAUAUAUAUUUUUACAUAUAACGUUGACCACUAACGUGGACAUUCAAUGUGCUAGAAAUAGAUCACAUCUUGUGUCUAUUAAGACCUAAAUUGUUCUCAAAACGAAAUAUACACACACACACAUAUAUAUAUAUAUAUACAUAUACAUAUAUAUAUAUAUAUACACAUAUGUAUAUAUAAUGUGCUGUGUGUGCUUGUGAGCGUACGAUCGUGCACUUAAUUAAAUCGCGAAAUAAUAAUUAUAUAUCAACAACAACAAAAGUUACAAAAGGUAGCAAUAAUAAUAACUAACAAUUUUUUAAUAUUAACAAUAUUGAUAAUAAUAAUAAUAAUAAUAAUAAUAAUAAUAAUAAUAACGGAAGCAGUUCCAACAGCAGCAGCAGUAACAACAAAAGCACUUGCUUAUUCUCUCUCUCUCUCUCUCUCUCUCUCUCUCUUUCUCUCAGCUGCUUUUUAUCACCACCACCGCCACCAUCAUAACAAAACUACCACCACCACCACCACCAUCAUCAUUGCUACGGCGGCUCAGUAUUACAAGUUUUUCGUUGACAGUGUGUAUAUGUAUAUAUAAAACCUAAGAGCGGCUUGCUGUGAUUUUCUAUCCCGUUAUACAUACAUACAUACAUACAUACAUACAAUCAUAUACAAGCGCAACGCAUACACAGAUACACAUGUAUAGAUGCAUGCACGUAUACAUAUAUACGCACUCUUUUAGCCCCACUCUCCCUUCGCCUGUGUGACCCGUGACCGCUAACCUUCGACCUGGAAGAGCUCUCAGCAAUUUUUUUCGCUUGCCUUUUCCUUUUUCGUGUUGUCCACACACACACACACACUCACACACACGCAUACACAUACGAACAUAUAAAUAUAUACAUAUGUAAUUCUUUGGAAGAGUGGAUCUCUAAGCACACAUAUAACUAUCAAUAAUAACAUGUAAAUAUUGGGGCUGAAAACCCCUAUUAAUUAGAAACGUCAAUAUACAGACACACAUAUAUAUUUAUACACACACAGAUACCGCAUAUUUAUACACAAGUGUACAUUAUAUAUAUAUAUAUAUAUAUAUAUAUAUAUAUAUAUAUAUAUAUAUAUAUAUAUACAUAUACACACAUACACAUUCAUAUUACAUCCAACUUCCUCCGCUGGACAGUCUCUCUCUUUCUCUCUCUCUCUCCACACACACACACACACAUUUAUAUAUAUAUACAUAUAUAUACACACAUAUACACAUGGGUUUUUUUUUUCUUUCUUCUACUUCCAAAAUUAAACGUGACGUCAACAAGUCUUAUGCAACAACAAAAACAACCACAGCAGAAAUAAGGAAAUGUAAGGGAAAAAAAGACAACAAACAAAUAUAUAAGAAAGACGGAAUAUAUAUAAAUAUUUUUAAAAAUAUAUAUUUUAAAAAAAUCAAGAAGUAAUACAGAAUAACUAGCAACAACAACAAUAAUAAUAAUCCUACAGCAAUAACAGCGAGAAGAGAUUCAUUAUCAAACGCAAACCGGACUAGUUUGUAUUUGGACCCGGGUUCGUGUUCUGUUGGCGACGGACAAAGGAAUCAACAGCUUUACAAAUGCUAUUAAGAUGAGGCUGUUAUGAUUACUGUUAUUAUUAUUAUUAUUAUUAUUAAAUAAUAACGAUGAUGACAUUAAUGGUUAACUAACAAAACACUACCCCAGGGAGAUUGACUGUUUCACAAGGUAUUAACAUUACCUCCUGGAUGUAGGAGAGACCCGGUGACUGAAUGUUAGUACGAGACUGGCCUAUUGAGACUAAUUACAAACACAAGGAAUUCCGAAACUCAUCGUCUUUGAAGUGGAAUGUCUUCUCCUUUAAACAAAUCACCACAACAGAUUUAACCGUAAAAAAUUUCGACUCUUGUAUGCUGUGGGAUGUUUUUUAAGGGAUUCUGUGCCCUCUAAAGGAUUAAUAACCCAUACAAUUUGAAGGUCCUUUCUACAAAUUACAUACCAACAUAUACACAUAUAUAUUUCUGUGUAUAUAUAAGUGCGCAAAUAUAUAUAUAUAUAUACGUGCGUCUGCGUGUGUAUAUUCCUGGCAUUCGUUUAA